GUGAUUGUAGUUUAAGUUUAAAAUUUUUGCUUUGCGUGCAGAAGAUCUAGAGGGGUCUAGUGAUCACA
rnacentral:tRNA from 1 species